rfam:Fructobacillus fructosus KCTC 3544 strain DSM 20349 Scaffold13, whole genome shotgun sequence.
UUGAACAAGUAGAAGCGCCCGCUUCUCGCCUCGUGACUCGCGUUGCCAGGCAGAUACACGUUGUACUUCAAUGUACAGACAGGUAAGGUGGGCGAACUUCGGUUCGUCCACUUUUUUCUUCGUUG